rnacentral:rRNA from 1 species
AGAGAGAGACAUGCGCGCAUAUCAAUAAGCGGAGGAAAAGAAACUAACAAGGAUUCCCUUAGUAACGGCGAGUGAAGCGGGAAGAGCUCAAAUUUGAAAUCUUCAAGGUUUUACCUUGACGAAUUGUAGUUUAAAGAAGUGUUUGCUGCUGAAGUUUUGGUAAAAGUUCUUUGGAAUAGGACAUCAUAGAGGGUGAGAAUCCCGUAUUUGACCAUUAUUUUCAGCUUUGUGAUACACUUUCAAAGAGUCGGAUUGUUUGGGAAUGCAGUCCAAAAUGGGUGGUAAAUUUCAUCUAAAGCUAAAUAUUGGCGAGAGACCGAUAGCGAACAAGUACCGUGAGGGAAAGAUGAAAAGAACUUUGAAAAGAGAGUUAAACAGUACGUGAAAUUGUCAAAAGGGGAAGCGUUUGACACCAGUGUUGUUUUCCUCGAAAAUCAAUUAAAAAUGGCUCGAUUUUGUAUUGUUGAGACCUUAAAAGCUCACUGUACAUUUUUCGUGUCUUUUUUAAUGCACUUUUCGUUUAACAAGUCAACAUCAGUUUCUUUUGUUGUAAAAGGGUCAUUGGAAGGUGGCUUUCUUUUCGGAGAAAGUGUUUAUAGCCUUUGGCCUCUGCAAUCGGAGAGACUGAGGUCUGCAGCGUAGACUCUUCGGGGUUAGAUACAUUUGUGCUAAGUUAUAGCUUUUUAUAGACAACUUGUUGACUAUAAUUAGUCUUGUAGCUUACUCGCUUAUGCUAUUUUACCUACGCUUAGGAUGUUGAGUCGUAGAGCACGCAG